GACAGGAAGCCCGAGAAGGCCAGAGGGGCGUUCCAGUGCAUGGAAAGGGGGAAAAGAGGCCGGAAUGGGAAACAGAGAUGUCGUUUUGAUAUUUUGAGAUUUAAAGGAGCGAGGAAGGGAGUGGAAGGGCUCAAGAUUUACGGGGGGUGGGCUGUGAGGCGCGGAGGCACCUUUCAGCCAAGGAUCUCAAAGCACUUCACUAGCUCAGCAUUCUCCUUUCCACUUUAUGGAUGAGAAAACUGAGUCAUAAAGAGGUGAAAUGGCGAGGUAAAGGUCAAACGACAACUCGCUGGGUUCAGCUCAGACUCCGGACAGGUCCAGUCCGCCCGAGGGCCUUGGCCGGAAAGUGGCCGGGGCUAGGAAAUGGCGCGACGCGGUGGGACUCCGGUUCCCGAAAAGGGCUCUCCGACCUCGCGGCAGCCGUCCUUGCACACCGAGAGGAGAAAAGGAAACGGCGACCGUUAUUUCAGCCUUAACAACCCUGCCUUCCACCCCCUAACCCCCGCCCCCCCUUCUCACUUUGUGAUCAGUAAUUUUCCAGCCGGGAAAUGUUUUCGUCCUCAUCUUCUCUGCAAACAGUACUUUUUUUUUUCUUUCUCUAACGUGAGUGUGGUGUUGGGUAUCACUUGCUAAACGUAGGCUGGCGAGGUAUUUAGAUUCGGGCGCCCGGAGCGAGGCUCCGCCCUCUCCACCGAGCCCCCUUACCAAUAAAUGCCGCCCCGCCCCGCAAGGAAGGAAAAGGGAGGAGGGGGCCUGGGGAGAGGCUCGGAGCCCCAGCACCCGGUAGUGGGCGCGCGCCCCUCCCCUUCUCGAGUCCCCGUUGCCUCGUAGUUUUUAUCGUUGUCACCUGUUUUGUGUCCUGCGAUUCUGGUACCUUUUCAGAUACCUCAGAAUAUUUCCUGCCCCAGAUUUUCCGCUCCUCGCAGUGCACAGAAGCAUUCCUGGAAUGCAUCUCGCCCGGAAUGAAUGGACUCGGCCCUCUCUGCCAAGGCCAGGAAUCCCUCUAGGUCCCUGGAGUUGGACGCCCAUGAGGAUGACUUUGGCCCUGGGCUGCGAGGGCCUGCAGCUGGGGUGCGGUCGGGGGCGUGCUUUGGCGGGGAACCCGGGUCUCUCCCUCCGGUGGCCCCCGAGCGGCUCAACCCCGGCCGAGAGGACCGAAGCCGUUACUUUAACUUUCCGGAAAUUUUUGCCGUUUAAAAAGCAGGGUACAAAAAAAACAACAACAACAAAAGAAAGAAAGAAAGACACCUGCUAUUCCCUUCUACCUGCAUCCUUCACUGUGACGGCAAGAAAACAUAUUGGGAUGCUAGGACUCGAGGGUUGCGUGGCAAAGUUUUCCACUUUUCCAUCAAGGCCAAGGUCUCUAAACCCUGAUGGAAUUGCAAGCGCCCUUGAUUGGCAGCCAUAACCCUCCAUCCGGAAGUAAACAUCAGCCUUCUGGAGGAUAAAAGCCAGUGUCUCUUCGUGGCAGACAACUAUCUGCCUCUUCCUCUGAUUGCAUCAUAAAAGGAAAUCUCUGUAUUUGCCCGGGAUUUCUAAAAGAGGUGAACUCACUGCCCUCCCGCCUGCGUGGGACACGACUCCCAGG